rnacentral:rRNA from 1 species
AACGAACGCUGGCGGCAUGCCUAACACAUGCAAGUCGAACGAGACCUUCGGAACUAGUGGCGCUCGGGUGCGUCACGCGUGGGAACCUGCCCUUAGGUUCGGAAUACCACUCCGAAAGGGGUGCUAAUACAGGAUAACGUCUUCGGACCACAGAUUUGUCGUCUUUGGGUGGGCCCGCGUUGGUUUAACUAGUUGGUAGGGUAAAAGCCUACCAAGGAGACGUUCCAUAGCUGGGCUGAGAGGAUGAUCAGCCACACUGGGACGGGGACACGGUCCAGACUCCUACGCGAUGCAGCAGUGGGGAAUAUUGCACUAUGGGCGAGAUCCUGAUCCAGCAAUGCCGCGUGAGUGAUUUUGUUGGUAGGGUAGUAAAGCUCUUUUACCCGGGACUAUAAUGACAGUACCGGGAGAAUAAGCUCCGGCUAACUCCGUG